UACGAAGGGAGCUAGCGUUGCUCGGAAUCACUGGGCGUAAAGCGCACGUAGGCGGCUUUUUAAGUCAGGGGUGAAAUCCUGGAGCUCAACUCCAGAACUGCCUUUGAUACUGAGAAGCUUGAGUCCGGGAGAGGUGAGUGGAACUGCGAGUGUAGAGGUGAAAUUCGUAGAUAUUCGCAAGAACACCAGUGGCGAAGGCGGCUCACUGGCCCGGUACUGACGCUGAGGUGCGAAAGCGUGGGGAGCAAACAGG
rnacentral:rRNA from 1 species